GCCUGGUUGGCUCAGUUGGUGGAGCAUGUGAUUCUUGAUCUUGGGGUUGUAAGUUCCAGCUCCACUUGGGUGUAGAGAAUACUUAAAAACAACAUCUUUAAAAAAAUUUUUUAAAAAUAAAAUCAUUAUUUAAAAAAUAAAAAGUAAGUAGAUCAAGAAGUCACAAUUAAGGGGCGCCUGGGUGGCACAGCGGUUAAGUGUCUGCCUUCGGCUCAGGGUGUGAUCCCGGCGUUAUGGGAUCGAGUCCCACAUCAGGCU
rnacentral:tRNA from 1 species